ensembl:lncRNA
CCAGGAUGUUGCAGUGGGUGAGAAGCACUGGACAAACAAGGUUUGCCACAACUAUUUGCCUUAUUGGAACCCACUAAGUCUGGGAAAAACUGAUCCUGUGGUGUCAUAUAUGUUACUGUGGUAUGUCUGGAAAAGCAAGAAGGGAUUUGGGAAAGAGAGCCAGGCUGCUGUUCAUAGCAAGGAAUAAGGCAUUUUGGAAAAGAAUGCAAGGGGUUUAGGUUGUGGUAAGGGUGAUUCUAAUUGGACAUUUAGGAAAGCAUUCCAGUUACAGAAAUACAGAUGAGCAGUAGAAUGGGCUGCCUGAGGAUGUAAUUAAAAUAUAAUUGAUCUUACUUUUAAGCAGAAGUCUGAGUUAGCUGCCUCAUUAGGUGUGGUUAGAAUACAAGACUUGGGGAUGCAUCACCAGCUGUGCCUGAGCCCUGGUGCUGCCAAAAUGCCACCUAGCUGGGGCAGGGAAAUGGGGAUCUCCAUCAGCAUCCCUGCUUGACAUGGGCACAGAUGGACACUGUUGCACUCUGGAGUGAAAAUACCGUGCAUGAUUCUUCCUUUUCACUAUUGCUUCCUGUAAACCUUUAGCACUAAAGGGCAGAACCAAAAUUAAUUUUCAAGGCUUUGAAAAUAGAAUUGACUAGAAGGAAAGCAAUAAAAAUUUCAUUGUUCCAAACAAUGAAAGUGUAGGAUAAUUUAUAACAAACCUAAUGAUCCUUAGCUAAAUAUUCAUCAAGAUAAUUAGCUUAAUUUCAGAGUGACCUGAGUCUGGAUCUCCAGUUCUGAUUUUGGAGUGAUAUUAAAGUCCUGAGGUGAAAAUGAAAUACUUGCACAUAAAGUUCUCUCACACAUCGAUGCCCUUCAACAUCUUGGCAAAUCAGACCAAAUAGAUAUGUGACACCUUUACUAACAGACACAGGAACCAGCCAUCAUUUUUGGUGUGGGCGGCCACAGCUCCUCUGGGUCAUGGAUCUGCUGCAGAGCUCACAUAAGCCUCAUAAGCCUUCUCAGUUGCAGUGGCAGGGAAAGAAUUUUUUUUGAAAUGCUGAUUUUUCUGGCUUGGUAAAUUAAAGCCAUUCAUCUGUUACAGCUGUCUAUAUCAUAAAUCAAAAGCACUAUUUAUAUGUAUUAACCUGGGGACCUUAGCAGCCAGGGGAGAGAGCUUUGUAGAGAUGGCAUUUGUGCCUUUAGAAGCCCUCCCUGCCUCCCUCCCAUUGAAACAGACAAUGUUUAGCACAGGUUAACAAGAUUUCAGUUUUUCCUGAUGCAAAGAGCUUUGCUGUGGGUGGGGAGCUUUGCAGAAGUUACCUCAUGGUGAAUUCCUGAAGAGAGGAAAAUUGUUUCUUUCUGUUGCAAGAAUUAAAUUGCUGGGGACAGCUUUUGUUUCCUCUUAUUUUGUUGCUGCUGAGGAGUUUGCUGCAACUGCAACCACUGAAUAGAUCUUACUGCUCUGUCCUUCAGAGCAGGCAGCUUCUGAUUUGUCAGUGUUUACAAAUGAGUGAAUGAGAGUUUACAAAUAGUUUUGAAAAUGAUGCCUUGUAACAAACAAAAUAAAAACCAG